ACGGGUGAGUAAUACAUCGGAACGUGCCCGAUCGUGGGGGAUAACGGAGCGAAAGCUUUGCUAAUACCGCAUACGAUCUACGGAUGAAAGCAGGGGACCGCAAGGCCUUGCGCGGACGGAGCGGCCGAUGGCAGAUUAGGUAGUUGGUGGGAUAAAAGCUUACCAAGCCGACGAUCUGUAGCUGGUCUGAGAGGACGACCAGCCACACUGGGACUGAGACACGGCCCAGACUCCUACGGGAGGCAGCAGUGGGGAAUUUUGGACAAUGGGCGAAAGCCUGAUCCAGCCAUGCCGCGUGCAGGAUGAAGGCCUUCGGGUUGUAAACUGCUUUUGUACGGAACGAAAAGCCUCUUUCUAAUAAAGAGAGGUCAUGACGGUACCGUAAGAAUAAGCACCGGCUAACUACGUGCCAGCAGCCGCGGUAAUACGUAGGGUGCGAGCGUUAAUCGGAAUUACUGGGCGUAAAGCGUGCGCAGGCGGUGAUGUAAGACAGAUGUGAAAUCCCCGGGCUCAACCUGGGAACUGCAUUUGUGACUGCAUCGCUGGAGUGCGGCAGAGGGGGAUGGAAUUCCGCGUGUAGCAGUGA
rnacentral:rRNA from 1 species